AGAUUGAACGCUGGCGGAAUGCUUUACACAUGCAAGUCGAACGGCAGCACGGGGGCAACCCUGGUGGCGAGUGGCGAACGGGUGAGUAAUACAUCGGAACGUGCCCAGUCGUGGGGGAUAACGUAGCGAAAGCUACGCUAAUACCGCAUACGAACUCUGGUUGAAAGCGGGGGACUCGCAAGAGCCUCGCGCGAUUGGAGCGGCCGAUGGCAGAUUAGGUAGUUGGUGGGGUAAAGGCUCGACCAAGCCUGCGAUCUGUAGCUGGUCUGAGAGGACGACAGCCACACUGGGACUGAGACACGGCCCAGACUCCUACGGAGGCAGCAGUGGGAAUUUUGGACAAGUGGCGCAAGCCUGAUCCAGCCAUUCCGCGUGCAGGAUGAAGGCCCUCGGGUUGUAAACUGCGUUUAGUACGGAACGAAAACGCCCUUUUACGUAAGUACGAGAGGGUCAGUGACGGUAACCGUAAGAA
rnacentral:rRNA from 1 species